AUUGAACGCUGGCGGCGUGCUUAACACAUGCAAGUCGAUCGGUAACAGGUGUAGCAAUACAUGCUGACGAGAGGCGGACGGGUGAGGAAUAUUUGGGAAUCUGCCCAUCAGCGGGGGACAACCCGGGGAAACCCGGGCUAAUACCGCAUACGCUCUACGGAGGAAAGCCGGGGACCGCAAGGCCUGGCACUGAUGGAUGAGCCCAAAUCGGAUUAGCUAGUUGGCGGGGUAACGGCCCACCAAGGCGACGAUCCGUAGCUGGUCUGAGAGGACAAUCAGCCAAACCGGAACUGAGACACGGUCCGGACUCCUACGGGAGGCAGCAGUGGGGAAUAUUGGACAAUGGGGGAAACCCUGAUCCAGCGACGCCGCGUGGGUGAAGAAGGCCUGCGGGUUGUAAAGCCCUUUCGGUAGGGACGAAAGCUCUUGCUCCAACAAAGCAGGAGGUUGACUUAACCUACAUAAGAAGCACCGGCUAACUCUGUGCCAGCCGCCGCAGUAAGAC
rnacentral:rRNA from 1 species